CGAUGCCAUCAUUUAGUUGGGCAAUCUAGCGAGACAGCAGGUAAUAAAGGGAGGAAGGUGGGGAUACGUUAAAUCAUCAUGACCCAUAUGAAUUGGGCUACACACGUGAUACAAUGGCUGGUACAUCGAGUCGCAAGCCGGUGACGGCAAGUUAAUCUGUUAAAGCCAGUCUCAGUUCGGAUUGUAGGCUGCAACUCGCAUACAUGAAGUCGGAAUCGCUAGUAAUCGCGGAUCAGCACGCCGCGGUGAAUACGUUCCCGGGCCUUGUACACACCGCCCGUCACACCAUGAGAGUUUGUAACACCCGAAGUCGGUGAGGUAACCGUAAGGAGCCAGCCGCAUAAGGUGGGAUGGAUGAAAGGGGUGAAGUCGUAACAAGGUAACC
rnacentral:rRNA from 1 species